ACAUCCACGAUGAAGCCUGUUCCUGUAUUGAUAUUUCACAGCCAAACGUAAUUUAUUAAUCCACCUGACAAUCUUGCAGAUUGAUGUGCUUGAGGUUGAUGGAGUCUACUAUGGUUUCUCUGGUUGCCAUCGUUACGAGGCACAUCAGCGCCUUGGAUUUCCCACAAUUCGUUGUAAAAUUCGAAAGGGGACAAAAGAAACUUUGAGGCAUCACCUUCGCUAGAGUAAAAGUUCAUAGAAUGGCAUCAUGUCGUAGUUCUCAUCUGAUCAAUGUUCUACAGUUUGUGGGACUUGGUGAAUUGGAUCACUGCAACAGAAGAAUUGAUGCUGUGAUGUAAUAUUUGUUGAU